GGAGCGGGUAUAUGCCAUGGUCCCGCCCCCUCCUGGGUUGCUUUGCAAGCAGGAUGUCAGGAGUUCGAAUCUCCUAGGCUCCA
rnacentral:tRNA from 1 species